rnacentral:tRNA from 1 species
GCCCGAAUGGCUCAGUGGUAAAGCGUCUCACUAGUAAAUCCCCACACCGUACUUGACUCGUCUUGUACGAUGGGGACCUCAAUGAGAAGAUCGCCAGUUCGAUUCUGGCUUUGGGCA